CAGGUAGAGUAGGCUGGUUUUGAGCUGUACAUACUUGUUGAGAAAAGCGCUCCGACAAACUCCUGAUUUUUGACAUCCUUCACCGUGACACUGGGCAUUUAAAGGGCUAAUUGGAGUUAAGGAGCCUUUUCACUUUGACGAUGCUGGGUGUAAGCUGUUCUCGUUGAGUCCCAGCAGAGGGUAGUGUCGGGGCACCCUCACAUCUCUGGCCGACUUCUCCGUUUUACCAGACAAACCCAAAGCCCUUUCAAGAAGUGUGCUGCAGUCAGCAGGCAGGAGAAAGCAGCUCGGUGGGGAAGACACCACCAGUGGAUGGCUAAGUUGAUAUGCGGAUUACCACCACUGUGUGAAACACUGCAUCUAAAGCCAAGGUAGCUAAAUGU